AAAAGAAACUAACAAGGAUUCCCCUAGUAACGGCGAGUGAAGCGGGAAGAGCUCAAAUUUGUAAUCUGGCACUUUCAGUGUCCGAGUUGUAAUCUCGAGAAGUAUUUUCCGCGUUGGACCGCACACAAGUCUGUUGGAAUACAGCGUCAUAGUGGUGAGAACCCCGUAUCCGGUGCGGAUGCCCAAUGCUUUGUGAUGUACUUUCGAAGAGUCGAGUUGUUUGGGAAUGCAGCUCAAAUUGGGUGGUAAAUUCCAUCUAAAGCUAAAUAUUGGCGAGAGACCGAUAGCGAACAAGUACCGUGAGGGAAAGAUGAAAAGCACUUUGGAAAGAGAGUUAACAGUACGUGAAAUUGUUGGAAGGGAAACGCUUGAAGUCAGACUUGCAUUUCGGAGUUCAGCCGCAAGGUGUAUUCUUCGAUUCGCAGGCCAGCAUCAGUUUUCGGGGGUGGAAAAUCGCGGUUUGAAGGUAGCAGUCUCGGCUGUGUUAUAGCUUUCCGCUGGAUUCACUUUUGGGGACUGAGGAACGCAGUGUGCUUUUAGCAAGGCUUUCGAGCUUUU
rnacentral:rRNA from 1 species